rnacentral:rRNA from 1 species
UACGUAGGUGACAAGCGUUGUCCGGAUUUACUGGGCGUAAAGAGCGCGCAGGCGGUCGUUCAAGUCGAGUGUGAAAGCCCCCGGCUCAACUGGGGAGGGUCACUCGAUACUGAUCGACUCGAAGGCAGAAGAGGGAAGCGGAAUUCCCGGUGUAGUGGUGAAAUGCGUAGAUAUCGGGAGGAACACCAGUGGCGAAGGCGGCUUUCUGGUCUGCUCUUGACGCUGAGGCGCGAAAGCUAGGGUAGCAAACAGG